AAUGAAAGUAAAGAGAAGAAAUAUAUAUAGAGUAUUUAUUAUUCUGUAAAAUAUCCUUCUCUAAGGAAGAUGGGAAUUUUUUUAGUUUAAUUUAUACAUUAAUCUAAGAAUAAAUUUCUCGUAUUCCUGGGGCGCUGGUUUCUCGCUUGCGAGUCGAUGCGCACCUAGAGCGUUUACGCUGAUACCCGAAAGAUGGUGAACUAUGCCUGGCCAGGACGAAGCCAGGGGAAACCCUGGUGGAGGUCCGCAGCGAUUCUGACGUGCAAAUCGAUCGUCGGAGCUGGGUAUAGGGGCGAAAGACCAAUCGAACCAUCUAGUAGCUGGUUCCCUCUGAAGUUUCCCUCAGGAUAGCUUGCGCUCAAUUGAGACGAGUCUCAUCCGGUAGAGCGAAUGAUUAGAGGCAUUGGGGUCGAAACGACCUCAACCUAUUCUCAAACUCCAAAUAGAUGAGAACCUCGGCUUUCUUAAAAU
rnacentral:rRNA from 1 species